rnacentral:rRNA from 1 species
UACGGAGGGUGCAAGCGUUGUUCGGAAUUACUGGGCGUAAAGCGCGUGUAGGCGGUCGCGUGUGUCUGACGUGAAAGCCCGGGGCUCACCCCCGGAAGUGCGUUGGAAACUGCGCGACUAGAGUGCCGGAGAGGAGGGUGGAAUUCCUGGUGUAGCGGUGAAAUGCGUAGAUAUCAGGAGGAACACCGGUGGCGAAGGCGGCCCUCUGGACGGAUACUGACGCUGAGACGCGAAAGCGUGGGGAGCAAACAGG